GACGAACGCUGGCGGCGUGCCUAAUACAUGCAAGUUGAGCGAUGAAGAUUGGUGCUUGCACCAAUUUGAAGAGCAGCGAACGGGUGAGUAACGCGUGGGGAAUCUGCCUUUGAGCGGGGGACAACAUUUGGAAACGAAUGCUAAUACCGCAUAACAACUUUAAACAUAAGUUUUAAGUUUGAAAGAUGCAAUUGCAUCACUCAAAGAUGAUCCCGCGUUGUAUUAGCUAGUUGGUGAGGUAAAGGCUCACCAAGGCGAUGAUACAUAGCCGACCUGAGAGGGUGAUCGGCCACAUUGGGACUGAGACACGGCCCAAACUCCUACGGGAGGCAGCAGUAGGGAAUCUUCGGCAAUGGACGAAAGUCUGACCGAGCAACGCCGCGUGAGUGAAGAAGGUUUUCGGAUCGUAAAACUCUGUUGGUAGAGAAAAACGUUGGUGAGAGUGGAAAGCUCAUCAAGUGACGGUAACUACCCAGAAAGGGACGGCUAACUACGUG
rnacentral:rRNA from 1 species